rnacentral:tRNA from 1 species
GGAUGCGUGGCCGAGUGGUUAUGGCGCCAGAUUCAAGCGAUUAAAAGCUUCUCAGUUCAAUGAGUUUCCUGGUAACGAAAGUUGCAUGGGUUCGAGUCCCAUCGCAUUCA